UAAGCCUUUUAAUAAGUUAAAACUCUGAAAACCAUCUCUGAGUCCUGCUGGUCACUCGGUCUUUGUAAGACCUUACAUACAUCUCCUGCUUCCUCUGUCACUUCACAGAUAAGUAAGCCUUGGAGACUCAUCACUUGCUCAGAGAGGCUAAUGGAAGUGUCUUGUUCACAGGUACACAGGUGGGAUUUAACCUUGAUCUUCCUGACCCCAGGAAAUCCACCUUGAUAUUGUCUAAGCAGCAGGAGGGAGGCCGCCAUGACCAGAAUCACCUCCGAGCUCAGAAGUCCUGUCUCUGCUGGAAUCAUCUGAUAUCCUGCUCUAAUCCAGGAAACUAAAACAUGAACCAAUUACGGACAAUUUGGCGCAUCUGAAAAAGGUCGAUGACACAAUUUUUCUAUUACAGAUGAAAUUCACUUCUUUAUGGGACUGGAAUAGCUCCGCGAGAAAUGGCCAGGAUGUGAGUCUGUAUGAGGAAUAGACAUGAGCUUGUAUGACGCUCCCCGGAUAUUGUCUCCCAGAGAAGAUUGCUGAGAAUUGUAGGUAGACAAGAGGCAACUAAAUGAUGAAUCGACAUUUGGAGCUGGAAGAAAAGGUGGAGGUCAUUGUCCAAUUGCUAAUUUCCUCACUUUAUGGAGAUGAAAACUGAGAAAUGUACUGGGAGUAAGAGCUUUAGUCAGGAUUUGAACCCAGGUGUCCAGCACUGCUGCCUUAUGGUUUUCCUAUGGCAUCCAUGUCUUGCUUUUUCCUUUUACCAUAAAUCAAUAUUAUUUUAUAAAAGAGACAGAGUGACAUUGAGCAUUCAUGAGCAUUUCUUAAUCUUUUAUGUUUCCAUAUAACACAAGUACUGAGCUUGUUUCUUGAGCUUGAAGGUUCCAUCACAUAACCUCCAGGGAACAAAAUUAGUAUAACAUGAACAGGGUUUAGAUUUUGGCUUCAUGCCUGCCAUGUCAGUCAAUCAGGCAAUGAGCAUGCAUUAACCGCCUGCUGUAUGCCAAGUACUGUGCUAUCACUUAACAUGCCUGCUUCUCAUUGUCCUCAGCUCACAUUUCACCAAAUAAAGCACAGAGAGCGCUCCUUCCUUAGGAGGCUUUGCUCACCCACCCUACAAAGCUUGGAGCAGAAGGAUCAGGCAAACUUAAAUCCUUCUCAUCUGUAACAUGAAGAUGGUUGGGUUUCAGGAUCUCCAAGACCCUCUCCCAUCCUAAAUCCCACAGAUUGCAGACAUUUGUUGGGAAUGAAUCAGUUCUAGACACAUUUCUUUUUCUUUCUUUCUUUUUUUUAAAUUAAGCCUUUUAUUUACAAGAUAUGUACAUGGGUAAUUUUACAGCAUUGACAAUUGCCAAACCUUUUGUUCCAAUUUUUCCCCUCCUUUCCCCGCCCCUCCCCCAGAUGGCACGUUGACCAAUACUUGUUAAAUAUGUUAAAGUAUAAAUUAAAUACAGAAUAAGCA